rnacentral:rRNA from 1 species
GACGAACGCUGGCGGCAUGCCUAAUACAUGCAAGUUGAGCGCUGAAGGUUGGUACUUGUACCAACUGGAUGAGCAGCGAACGGGUGAGUAACGCGUGGGGAAUCUGCCUUUGAGCGGGGGACAACAUUUGGAAACGAAUGCUAAUACCGCAUAAAAACUUUAAACACAAGUUUUAAGUUUGAAAGAUGCAAUUGCAUCACUCAAAGAUGAUCCCGCGUUGUAUUAGCUAGUUGGUGAGGUAAAGGCUCACCAAGGCGAUGAUACAUAGCCGACCUGAGAGGGUGAUCGGCCACAUUGGGACUGAGACACGGCCCAAACUCCUACGGGAGGCAGCAGUAGGGAAUCUUCGGCGAUGGACGAAAGUCUGACCGAGCAACGCCGCGUGAGUGAAGAAGGUUUUCGGAUCGUAAAACUCUGUUGGUAGAGAAGAACGUUGGUGAGAGUGGAAAGCUCAUCAAGUGACGGUAACUACCCAGAAAGGGACGGCUAACUACGUG